CGUUACCAAACUGUUGCCUCGGCGGGAUCUUCUGCCCCGGGUGCGUCGCAGCCCCGGACCAAGGCGCCCGCCGGAGGAAUCAACCAAAACUCUUAUUGUAUACCCCCUCGCGGGUUUUUUUUUAUAAUCUGAGCCUUCUCGGCGCCUCUCGUAGGCGUUUCGAAAAUGAAUCAAAGCUUUCAACAACGGAUCUCUUGGUUCUGGCAUCGAUGAAGAACGCAGCGAAAUGCGAUAAGUAAUGUGAAUUGCAGAAUUCAGUGAAUCAUCGAAUCUUUGAACGCACAUUGCGCCCGCCAGUAUUCUGGCGGGCAUGCCUGUCCGAGCGUCAUUUCAACCCUCGAACCCCUCCGGGGGGUCGGCGUUGGGGAUCGGCCUUCCUUCACGGGGGCCGUCUCCGAAAUACAGUGGCGGUCUCGCCGCAGCCUCUCCUGCGCAGUAGUUUGCACACUCGCAUCGGGAGCGCGGCGCGUCCACAGCCGUUAAACACCCAACUUUCUGAAAUGUUGACCUCGGAUCAGGUAGGAANNNNNGCUGAACUUA
rnacentral:rRNA from 1 species